rnacentral:ncRNA from 1 species
GUAGAAACGAAGAAGAGGAGUAGUAAGAGCCUACCGUUUUACAGAGAACUGCCGGAUGGUGCAAGGCAGCAAGCGUAAUCUCCCAACUCGCCUUGGAGUUCUUCUGCUGAACCCUGUAUGAUCGCAUAGGCAGAAGCGGGCCUUCCCGUUACAGAAGAUAAUGAGUGCAUCUGUAUUUUAUCAGUACGGGUGAAAAAGAGUGGUACCACGGAAGUUCAGGCCUUUUCGUCUCUUGC